UAGGGAAUCUUCCGCAAUGGGCGAAAGCCUGACGGAGCAACGCCGCGUGAGUGAUGAAGGUCUUCGGAUCGUAAAACUCUGUUAUUAGGGAAGAACAAAUGUGUAAGUAACUAUGCACGUCUUGACGGUACCUAAUCAGAAAGCCACGGCUAACUACGUGCCAGCAGCCGCGGUAAUACGUAGGUGGCAAGCCUUAUCCGGAAUUAUUGGGCGUAAAGCGCGCGUAGGCGGUUUUUUAAGUCUGAUGUGAAAGCCCACGGCUCAACCGUGGAGGGUCAUUGGAAACUGGAAAACUUGAGUGCAGAAGAGGAAAGUGGAAUUCCAGGUGUGGCGGUGAAAUGCGCAGAGAUAUGGAGGAACACCAGUGGCGAAGGCGACUUUCUGGUCUGUAACUGACGCUGAUGUGCGAAAGCGUGGGGAUCAAACAGG
rnacentral:rRNA from 1 species